rnacentral:snRNA from 1 species
GUGCUCACUUUGGAAGCUCAGGUACUAAAAUUAGAAUCAUACAGAGCAUGGCCUCUGAGCAAGAGCACAUGCAAGUUUGUGACACAUUCCUUAUUUUU